rnacentral:lncRNA from 1 species
ACCAAAGGUCUCCCUCUCUUCUUCCUCAAACCCAAGAUUUUCCUCAAAAUUCCUCUCCCACGGACUCUCACACUCCAAAUCGCCCACUUAGGAACCAAGUUCCUCCCCUUCUCCUUCUUCAUUUGGAGCGAUUCGAGCUUACCCUAGACUCUACCCGUCUUCUCCAAAUCGGCACAUCACUUCUCCAAAAUCUUUAUCUUUCCACUAAAAACCCUUCAUCUCUCCCUCACAUUUGCUCUCCUAAGUUCCGUGCUAGUCCUGCCUGUGCAAAUGACUCCCAAGAUGAAGCUUCCACAGAGGAGAAAAU